GAUGAACGCUGGCGGCGUGCCUAAUACAUGCAAGUCGAGCGAACAGACGAGGAGCUUGCUCCUCUGACGUUAGCGGCGGACGGGUGAGUAACACGUGGAUAACCUACCUAUAAGACUGGGAUAACUUCGGGAAACCGGAGCUAAUACCGGAUAAUAUAUUGAACCGCAUGGUUCAAUAGUGAAAGACGGUUUUGCUGUCACUUAUAGAUGGAUCCGCGCCGCAUUAGCUAGUUGGUAAGGUAACGGCUUACCAAGGCGACGAUGCGUAGCCGACCUGUGAGGGUGAUCGGCCACACUGGAACUGAGACGCGGUCCAGACUCCUACGGGAGGCAGCAGUAGGGAAUCUUGCGCAAUGGGCGAAAGCCUGACGGAGCAGCGCCGCGUGAGUGAUGAAGGUCUUCGGAUCGUAAAACUCUGUUAUUAGGGAAGAACAAAUGUGUAAGUAACUAUGCACGUCUUGACGGUACCUAAUCAAAAAGCCACGGCUAACUACGUG
rnacentral:rRNA from 1 species